AACGAACGCUGGCGGCAGGCCUAACACAUGCAAGUCGAACGCACCGCAAGGUGAGUGGCGCACGGGUGAGUAACACGUGGGAAUGUACCCUUUGGUUCGGAAUAACGUUUGGAAACGAACGCUAAUACCGGAUGAGCCCUGCGGGGGAAAGAUUUAUCGCCAAAGGAGCAGCCCGCGUCUGAUUAGCUAGUUGGUGGGGUAAAGGCCUACCAAGGCGACGAUCAGUAGCUGGUCUGAGAGGAUGAUCAGCCACACUGGGACUGAGACACGGCCCAGACUCCUACGGGAGGCAGCAGUGGGGAAUAUUGGACAAUGGGCGCAAGCCUGAUCCAGCCAUGCCGCGUGAGUGAUG
rnacentral:rRNA from 1 species